CCACACCAACAGUCGUGAACAUCCCUGACAGGAUAUCAAACGUCAAUCGGUUCAGCUUCCUAGACGUCGGUUCCCCUUGACAAAAAUCGACGUCUAAUGGGUAUUCAAAAAGUCAGUUUUAAAUGUUCACUUGGACGUCAUAUUAGUAGGAUAAACGACGUCCAUAGACGUUGGUUUCUGGAGAAUAACCGACGCCCAAUUCCAUUUUAAAUACACCGCAACUCUUCGCGGCAUUUAGUUUCUGACAUUGAUCGUCUUCCUCUUCUCCUUUUUCUCUUGCGACACCUCUUCUUUUUCUCUCUUUUCGGCAUUCGAUUGUUGUUUCUCGUCUUCCUCCUCUCCUUUUUCUCUCUUGCAUCCCAGGUGCGUAGUUUUUUUUUUAUUUAUCCUUACCGUUUAAACUUUGUUUAGUCUUUCAUCGAUUAUCUUGUCGUUCAACUGAUUAAAAUUUGCUUUCUUUGUGUUGUGUUUUAGUGCAGUUUUGAUCUUCUUUUUGGGUAACAUAGUACAAC
rnacentral:lncRNA from 1 species